rnacentral:rRNA from 1 species
GCAAGUCGAACGAAGGCCCUAGCUUGCUAGGUGUCCUUAGUGGCGCACGGGUGAGUAACACGUGGGAACAUACCUCAUAGUACGGAAUAACUGCGGGAAACUGUAGCUAAUACCGUAUACUCCAGAGAUGGGAAAGAUUUAUCGCUAUGAGAUUGGCCCGCGCAAGAUUAGCUUGUUGGUAAGGUAACGGCUUACCAAGGCUCCGAUCUUUAGCUGGUUUGAGAGGAUGAUCAGCCACACUGGGACUGAGACACGGCCCAGACUCCUACGGGAGGCAGCAGUAGGGAAUAUUGGACAAUGGGGGAAACCCUGAUCCAGCAAUGCAGCGUGAGUGACGAAGGCCUUAGGGUUGUAAAACUCUUUCAUCGGUGAGGAUAAUGACAGUAGCCGAAGAAGAAGGACCGGCUAAUUCCGUGCCAGCAGCCGCGGUAAUACGGAAGGUCCUAGCGUUGUUCGGAAUUACUGGGCGUAAAGCGCAUGUAGGCGGAACAAAAAGUUAGAAGUGAAAUCCCUGGGCUCAACCUAGGAAUUGCUUUUAAAACUUUUGUUCUGGAAUUCAGGAGAGGAAAAUGGAAUUUCCAGUGUAGAGGUGAAAUUCGUAGAUAUUGGAAGGAACACCAGUGGCGAAGGCGAUUUUCUGGACUGAUAUUGACGCUGAGAUGCGAAGGCAUGGGUAGCAAACGGGAUUAGAUACCCCGGUAGUCCAUGCAGUAAACGAUGGGUGCUAGUCGUCGGACUUUUGUUCGGUGUCGUAGCUAACGCGUUAAGCACCCCGCCUGGGGAGUACGGUCGCAAGAUUAAAACUCAAAUAAAUUGACGGGGACCCGCACAAGCAGUGGAGCAUGUGGUUUAAUUCGA